GCUGUGGUCCCUGGAGGCAAAAGGCAGCUCACCGGGCCUUCCGUUUCCAGCCAGGCCUCACGUGGGGCAAGGCCAAGAGGAAAGUACAGAGUGCCCUUGCGGAAAAAGUCCCACUGGGAUGCACCUCUUCCCUGAGAAGCCCACCUUCUCCCUCGUGGACAGAGGUCACCAGCUGGUCCCCGUGGUUACAGCCAGUGCCUGGAAUUCCUCCUUAGGGCUCUGGGAAGAGUAUUGCUCAAUGCAGGAUGUGCUGGGUGUUUCAUUUGGGGUUUUUAACUUAUUUAUGGCUUGGUGUCUUUCCUGUUUGAUGUUUGGCUUUUGUUUUGUCUCUCCCAAGCAGUGGAGGCCUGAGAGCCUGAGGGAGGCUGGGGAAAACCAGCAGGGAGCACUUGACUCCUGGCAGAGGGAGAGGACAGGAGGAGGAGCCUUCCCAUGAGGAGCAAGGAGAGGUGGGCACAUGGCAGGCCACAGUGCCCUACGGGCUUUUCUGUUUGAACCCCAUGUGGGAUGAAUCUCAAAGCCAACAGUGUUCUUGCCUCAUGUCCAGAAGCAGUGGAGAUUCGCAGCCCUCGCCUCUCCCUGAGACGAAGCUGGAUUUGAAAAUCCCUCCCACACUCUAAUAUGUUUCCUGGGUGGGCAGGGGCUCAGGACCAAGCAGCAAGUGUACCCAGAGCAGAAGCCCGUCCCGACUCCCACCGCAAACCCAGGAGCAGAACUCAGUAUCCAGAGCUUACAGGGGCUGCAAGGGUUUGCUGAAGGCUGCCCAGCUCUGUUUCUGGUUUCCUGGACAACUUCUGUGUCAGAUUAUGCCCGUUGUAAACCCAGAGGGCUACAUUUUGGGUUGAAUACGGACACUGGGGAAGCACAGGAUCUGAGUCCAGCAUUGCCAUGGAGGAGGGAAGAGUGUGUCCUGGCAGGAAGCCACCAUCUGAGAAGGCAAGGCUGGUAUCCGUCCCAUGGGAUUCACUAUAAUCAGCCCGUUAGAGCUGCUGGGUCUCUGUCACUGUAGACUCCAGUCAUUUAAGGAGGUCUCCACUCUAGGGUUUUUUUUUUUCUUUUGCUAUUUUGCCUGAACAUCCCAAUCCUCUUGGUUUUAGAAUCCAAGAGUAAGCUGUGCAGAGAUAUGGUUCUAAUUUAGACUUCAAAGGAACACCAGCUCUGAAAACGUGACCGUGGGGCCAGGAUGUUUCUGGCAGGCCCAGAAGUGCUGGCCGUUCUUCCCCAGCCUCCCGCCUGCUCCCUCCUCUGUUCCCCACGUGGAGGAGGGGGGUGCUGGGACUGGGGAGGGGCAGCCACCUCCAUCUGAGGCUCUUCCUUAGGGCCCUGCUAGUGUGGACGGCAGACUUUAUCCCUCCUUCUUACUCUGGGCCAAAGCCUCCCAUGCUGCUCUCUGAGGAUGGUACCAAGAAUGGGCCUUUGGGACUUCUCAGGACGUUGACACGUGCACACUGCAAGUUGACUUUAUUUAUUUAUUUUGUGAAAAGAAGAGACAGAAGAUACCUUUUUAUCUGCAGGGACUCAAAGCUGUACCCAAAUCAAGAAAGACAAAAUAAUAAUAGAAACCAUUCACACACUCCGUUCACGCAAGGACACCAGAAGACGAUUCAGAACACAAGAGAAUAAGCCCGAGCUGCAGCACCACAAUGGCCCCUGGACAUUGUUUAAGAUCUGAGAUCAUGGCCCGACGCCGUGGUUCACGGUGGCGGAUUGCCUGAGCUCAGGAGUUUGAGACCAGCCUGGGUAACA